CUAGAGCAGCCUCAUCAAAGGAAUCUUUAAUGACCUGCAGCAGCUCCCUCUGCUCACCCAGCACCCUCCUGAGCCCUCAGUCCUGCUGCUGGGGGAACAGGGCCAGGAAAGCCAGCACAAGCACCUGAGAGCUGCAUGGGGUGUCAGGCCACCAAGAGGCAUUGAUGACUGUGAGCAGCCUCACCUGGAUCCCAGCCCAUGGGCCCUGAGAUGUUCAUUUGAGCUCUGCCAGAACCAUCACUCCCUGCUCCAGUUUGACUGCGGAGUGUGGGUCUCCAGUGUUGGUCACCCAGACCUUCACCCAUGGACUGCAGAGCUGCCAGGAGAUCCCCAGGCUGUGUCUCACCAAGUGAGAGACUUGCCUUAUUGUGGGGAACUUUCCUGAUGAUCUGGACUCCUGCAUGAGCAAUUCUACCCUCCUGGAUGGGUUCCUUGGGAGCAGAGGGACAGCCCUUUGCUGGUCCUUGGGUUGCAGCAAGGGAGGCCAGCAGUGAAAUUGUAUCAGCAGAGCUGCCCAAAAGGAGGAGGGAGAGGCUGGGCUGUAGCUGCAGCCAGGCAGGUGUCUAGUGGAGAGAUGAUCCAAACCCAAAUGAAGCUUUCUCCUGGUAUUUAUAGA